AAAGUUGGGUACAUCAGAGUGCUCAUUGGGGAAAUAGAAUUCUGUGUCUUCGAAUUAGAUAAGCAAUAAAGUUAAUAACAAAAUGGAUUUACUAAAUUCCUAUUUAAAUGAAAUACAUACUUGAUUAGUUUAGUUGGAUGUGGAAAAGUGAGUUAAGUUUUGUGAAUACUGGAAAGAUUAGCCACUGCCCCGAUAAUUAUGUGUAUGUGUGUGUAUGUUAUUGUCUCUGUUUACAUUUUGUUUCAAGUGUUUAGUAUGCACAUAUAAACAGAAUUCUUUGAAAUCCACAAAUAUUUCUCACUUUAAAAACUGGUUUACUAUUAUACAUGGCUCAUUUUUAAAUAAUAAAUUACAAUAAUUAGCCGCUUUCAUUAUUUUAAUUUGACAGAACAACAAGAUUUAAGCGUCUUGCAUGCAAAUUACUAAAGUGAUACAUGUCUACAAAGAAAUCAACAAUUUUUCAAAAAAUAAAUACGUUUUUCGAGGAAUGUGAUCCACGUUUUUUUAACGUGAAUCAAAAAGUCAUCAACGGACAAUCUGGCACUAAUCAAAGAAAGAACUUUUAUACCUUCUUGUGAAUCAGGGAUAAAUAAAUCAUCAUACAGCUGAGUCCAGUAGGUGGCCAAGCUCAAUGGCAACCGUCUAAAGUGUCCGAAAACAUUCGGCCGGAAAGGUUUUAGCUAACAAUUUUUGGUAUUCAUAUGGAAUUAUUUGCAAAGAUUACCUCGAACAUGGUAAAAAAAUAAUCAAUAAACAUUUAUGUGUUAUUGGAUCUUUGGAACGAUGAGCCAAAAUUGUUCAAAUUGUUAGGCUUGGGAUAUUUCAGCCCAUUUAUUUUGCUAGCCUUUAUUUAAUGUUGGAACUUUUUAUAUUGAUUUCGUAUGCACAACGAACUCAUAAAUUAUUUUGAUAAGAAAUUAUGGCACGGACUUAAUUAAGUAAUUAAGAACCAAUUUAAUCUGCACGGCACUGAGAACUCCUGGAAUUCUCAUUCUUUAUAAUAUUUUUAGUACAAAAAUAUUGUCGAAAAGCAAACAAAGCAAGUGACACCAAGAAGUUAAUAAAACUACCUAUUGAAUCGUAAAACAAUCAGAUAUUGUUUUCAAAUAGAACUUCAAAAACCCAUACUAACGCCAACAAAGUUUUAUUAAUCAUCGGAAACUCGUAACAUUUCAGCGAAUAGCAACAGUUUUCAUAUAACUUGGUGUUCAGAGUAGCUUAAUCGCACAAGUGACCACAUACAUAUAUGCAUGUACUUAUUUAUAAAUAUAUGUAUUUUCAUGAGAAAAUGCUUCAACAGAUAAUAUUCAAGCACGCAAGAUUUUAAAGAAAUAUAAUCUUAUAAUAUAAUACAAUAGUUUUUAGCUUCAAAUAUAUUCAAAUUAAAUUUUGUUCUAAACUGUUCAGUAAAAAAUUUCGCUCAAAAGUAAACUCGUAAAAAUUACUUUUGAAAAUAUGGGUUUUCAAAUAUUUUUCACCAAUUUUCAACACCUACUAGAAUCACGUUUCACCACCAGAAAUAAAAAUAUUUACUUACAAUAUUGAAUAUUGUAAUUUUUAAGUUGUCAAAAAUUUAAGCAAUUAUUAAAGCAAAUAGGUUUUAGAAAUAUUUUACCAAUCGCUGACAGUUAAAACCCCAAAACCAAUCUUUUUUUUUCAGAAUGCUCACCGACACCUUUUAAAAUGAUGCUAAAAAAUUUACCUUGCAGGGAUAUUUUUAUUUGUAUAUAGCUGUAGCGAAAUGGAGCAAAAGUGUUGUCACCAAAAAUAAGUAAAUAUUCAACCGGAUUCCCAUCAUUCACUGUCAAGUUCAAAUUUAUAAAAAGCCCACAAAGCGCACUGCUGAUACGUUGCUAUUUGACUAGUAUUUUGCUCGAGACUAGUAAGUUGUCGCUUGCUCUGGUGCCACUACAGCUAUCAUCUCUCUUUAAUUUAGAAGCUCUUCUCGACAAGCGAUGUUUCGCUCGUGCAUGCAGUUGACCAAGUCUCUUUUAAUCUGCCGUUUUUCGCUUCAUUUACGCUUCUACAUAUAUACAUAUAAGUACAUCCAUUUAUACUUGCUUAUAUGGCGCUUCCCAGCUUACGUGAUAACAACAGUUGAGCGCCGGAUUCAGUAAACAAAAAAUAUAAUUUAGUAUGAGCUAACACGCGUAUAAACACCUGGUAUAUUGGACAUACCACACUUUGUCGGUCCGAAAGCCACAAUACCCAAUAAAGUAUGGCGUCCACUGGUAUUUAUGAGACCGGAGGAACCAUCAUCCAUGAACGGGCCACCACUGUCACCUUUAGGAUAAAAACCAAGAGCACAUUAACAUUUUAUUUGCAGAACCAGAGCAUUGUCGUUCUCAUUAUUCCAUUAAUAUAAGGCAAUAUUGAUAAUUAUCAAAGCAAAGAGGACUAAAAAGCUGUAAAAAGGAGCAUGAGAGAGACUAAUUUGGUCUGAAUUAUGUUCGUUGAGAGAGGAAUUUACUUAUCUUUUCAACUCGAUUCAAUGAACCAUGUUUACUAAGCCAAACACCUCAAUGAUCUCAACAUUUAUCACCGUAUUGCUUACCUCUACAGACGUCAUUCAUUGGUCCACCCUGAGCGCACAACUGUGAAGGCGUAAUUACGAUGGGGUCAUUAAAAUUUUCACUGAAUUUCGCAUAGGUAAUUGCACACUCAGUCGUAUUAGCGAUCGGCAAAUUCAGAUAACGCACCCGUGGACUACUUGUGUCGUUACCUGAAAUCAUAGAUAAACAAAUUUAUCAAUUUCAAAUUUAAUUCAAAAUUGAAGUUUCACAUUAUAAGACCAAAAAAAUUAAAUUAACACAAAAUAAUUAUAAAUUCAACGAAAAAAUAGACUACAAGCUAAAUAAGAACUAAAACCUUCAACAUCCGCUGUCCAGCCGAGCGCUAUACCGGGGCUACCUAUAAGCUGAUCACGUACAGAAGCCGAUAAAUUUGGUGUAAUACUAAAAGUUCAAUAUGACUGAUACGGCCGAAACCGAAGCCAGCGAACUCAAAGCCGAUGUUAAAGACGAAAAACCUACGCUUAUGACGAAGUUAACAAAUUCCAUUACUUCAUUAACGAAUAACAAAGAUGGUCGAUUUCAAAUGACCGAAAGCAAUUGGUCGAUUUUAAAAUGCACGCUCGUCUUUCUGUUCGGUGUUGUGUUGACCAAGAAAAUGCAGAAGGUGGUCAAUGAAAUUAUGUGAGGUUACCUUGUGUCUAAGCUAACAUGAAAUACAAACAAUUGUCUGAAUGAGA